CCUUCACCACGGAUUGUAUGCCAUAUAUACUGACUCUCGUAAUAUGCGAGAACUGAAGCGAUUUUAAAUAAUGAUCUAUGCCCACAAAACCAACUGUCAAGAGUGUGAACUUGCAUUCUUCUUUACUGGAAUGUUUAAGUUGGACAUGAUAUGGAAGAAAUGGUAGCUGUGGCAGCCUCAGCCACUGAAGAAAUUGUCAUCCACCAUGUUGAAAGAUCCUCCAACAAGGCCAACUCAGUAGUGGUAGGAUUUAGGUGACAAAAUCUAAGUCUAUUUUUUAAAGACAUCUACUUUUAAAAAUUCAAUGGUGUUUCCUAAAAACUCAUUCAUUGUGACCUGCAAUUCUGCAGGAAUUAGCACUGGACCAAAUAAAGUAGCAGCUUGCAAAAACAGAAGUGUGACAUGUUAUGUUCCACGUUGUGAUAGAACAUAUGGUAUUGGAAGACUGACAACCUACUGAUGGUUUUUCAUAUCUCAUUUGCUAGAAAUUAAUAAUAGGUGGCAUACUUUUUAACUAUGCCAAAGUUAGUACCAAGAAACUCAUUAAAAGCAACAAAGUUUUAUUAUAAACAUAAUUCUUUUAAAGAACUUCAUAUUUUCUUUAUACUGAGUACCUGAAGAGAUUAAUAACCAUCACAGAAAUAGAAAAACAGAGUUGAGAUUAUGUGAAAAAAUCUUCCUAUUUUUGAAAUAAGCUCAGUGCUGUCAUUUAGUUUUUUAAGGGUCAACUCAUAUCCAUACCUUCCAUUGGCUUAGAUAGACAAAUUGUGAAACGGUUGUUACUUUAAAGGACCUAUGCUGUUAGUUGAAUUUGUUGGGUGUUAGAAUAGGACUCUGUUAUUCUAUAUUUAUGUAUAUAAAGAAAGUACAUUUGAGCUGGUUUUAAUGAAAGGUGACUGCGAUUGCAUACAUAAUGUAAAAAAAAAAAAAUAUGCCUUUAUUGUAAGUAUUAAAGCAUAAUACUUGUUUAUAUUUUUGUUCUCAUUGCAAUUCAUGCUUUGUUCAGUGUUUACAAUAUAUAAUGAAAAGUGACAGACACUUAUAAUAUUAAUGGAACAGAAAUUUAAUAAAUAAAAUACAUAACUUGUUACUUUGUUGGAUAUUUUCUAUAAAAUCACAAUGUUCUUUGAAGUGUAUUUAAUUUUUAUGUAUACACUCCAAGUUCCCAACAGCUUUGAAGGCAUGACUCUUGAAAACUCAUAAAUUUGUAUCAUUUAUUGAAUAAAAAAAUGGCCACUAA